AGAGCUCCGGAUCGCAGUGGUUCCAUUUUAAAUUUCUUUGCUUCCUAACGCAACCUAUGUUUUCUACGGUAACUGAGGUUCCCGUGUUCUUUUUCACCAUGGUCUCUCCGUUUUAAUGUUUCGGGUUUUUUUACCCAGGCCCCUGUUUUAUGAGCCCUGGGUACGUCCUUCCUGUGUCCCGUUUGGCCUCCUGGGUUACACUCCUGUUCACCCCGCUUGGCCGGUUUUUUUUUUUCUUUUCUUUGAACCUGCCGGUUUCUCAGUCUCCCCCUUUUCCGCUGGCUACCUGUCCCUUUCUCGCCGCCCAUGUUAACUUUAGCAUGCCCCGUUCUCUCUCUUCAUUUUCCACUGGGUAUUUUUUAUGUUUCCCAAUUUUAAAAACGGCCCAGCGCACCCCUUUUUUUGGGACUCCACUUUUAUCUCUGGCACCAGUGUCGGCCUCCUCCACCUCUGCUCCCAUUUAAUCGCUAAUUUCCUGCCUCCUGAGGACCCCCGUUUUAUUGUCCAGGCUCCCCCCUCCCAUUUUUCUCUUCUCUAAUUUUCUGAGUCUCCAUUUUUUGUCUCCCAAAUUCCUUCGAUUCCUGGAGUCUUACAGGCCUCGUUUUUAUGUACACGUCAUGGAAAAGAAUAAAAGGGUAAGGUCGCGGGGCGCGAUGGCUCAUGCCUGUAAUCCCAGCACUUUGGGAGGCCAAGGCGGGCAGAUCACCUGAGGUCAGGAGUUCGAGACCAGCCUGGCCGAUAUGGCCAAACCCAAUCUCUACUAAAAAUACAAAAAUUAGCUGGGUGUGGUGGCGGGCACCUGUAAACCCGGCUACUCGGGAGACUGAGGCAGGAGAAUCACUUGAACCCAGGAGGUGGAGGUUGCAGUGAGCUGAGAUCU
rnacentral:lncRNA from 10 species